UGAACGCUGGCGGCGUGCCUAAUACAUGCACGUCGAGCGAACAGAUGAGGAGCUUGCUCCUCUGCCGUUAGCGGCGGACGGGUGAGUAACACGUGGAUAACCUACCUAUAAGACUGGGAUAACUUCGGGAAACCGGAGCUAAUACCGGAUAAUAUAUUGAACCGCAUGGUUCAAUAGUGAAAGACGGUUUUGCUGUCACUUAUAGAUGGAUCCGCGCCGCAUUAGCUAGUUGGUAAGGUAACGGCUUACCAAGGCAACGAUGCGUAGCCGACCUGAGAGGGUGAUCGGCCACACUGGAACUGAGACACGGUCCAGACUCCUACGGGAGGCAGCAGUAGGGAAUCUUCCGCAAUGGGCGAAAGCUUGACGGAGCAACGCCGCGUGAGUGAUGAAGGUCUUCGGAUCGUAAAACUCUGUUAUUAGGGAAGAACAAAUGUGUAAGUAACUAUGCACGUCUUGACGGUACCUAAUCAGAAAGCCACGGCUAACUACGUG
rnacentral:rRNA from 1 species